rnacentral:rRNA from 1 species
GACGAACGCUGGCGGCGUGCUUAACACAUGCAAGUCGAACGGAAAGGCCCUGCUUUUGUGGGGUGCUCGAGUGGCGAACGGGUGAGUAACACGUGAGUAACCUGCCCUUGACUUUGGGAUAACUUCAGGAAACUGGGGCUAAUACCGGAUAGGAGCUCCUGCUGCAUGGUGGGGGUUGGAAAGUUUCGGUGGUUGGAGAUGGACUCGCGGCUUAUCAGCUUGUUGGUGGGGUAGUGGCUUACCAAGGCUUUGACGGGUAGCCGGCCUGAGAGGGUGACCGGCCACAUUGGGACUGAGAUACGGCCCAGACUCCUACGGGAGGCAGCAGUGGGGAAUAUUGCACAAUGGGCGGAAGCCUGAUGCAGCAACGCCGCGUGCGGGAUGACGGCCUUCGGGUUGUAAACCGCUUUCGCCUGUGACGAAGCGUGAGUGACGGUAAUGGGUAAAGAAGCACCGGCUAACUACGUG